rfam:Asian citrus Psyllid, Diaphorina citri - Florida Strain, whole genome shotgun sequence.
GCCUAGUUAGCUUGGAAGGUAGUGCGUCUGCCUUGUAAGCGCUAGGUUGCGGGUUCGAUUCCUGCCCGGGGCG